GAGGUUGCCGCUGCUUUUAUAGGACACGAGGCCGAGGCUGAGGGACCUGCUGACCAGCACCUGCACACCGAUCAUUGUAACAGGGGAUUUUUUGGGCAUCCAUCCACUAACAACUCGAGAAGAUGGAGGAGUCUGUGCAGGCAGGAGAAGUGACAUAGGAGAGACGACAGAGGGUAAAUGUAAAUACAGCCCUCCACUACGUCCCAGGCAUUCAGAUGUACAGCCGCUCUGCCCUGCAGCCAUUCUCGACCAAAGGUUAUUUGUGAGAAUGAGAAUGCUCGUUCAACCCGUGGCCGCCAGACUUGCCCCUUGAGCUACAGAGGGAUUUCAAAAUGAUACAGAAUUUCAGAAGGAUGACCUGCUGCCUUAGUGCAACCUUAGUGCUAAUCUAACUUCAUCCUUGGAUGGGAUUUCUUGGCAGGAAUGCUUGCGCUUUAUCUGUGCCGUGGCUGAAAGCAGUCAUUUGUAGGCCAGAGGAGUUGUGCCAUAACAUUCUUUUAGA